rnacentral:rRNA from 2 species
GGCUCAUUAAAUCAGUUAUCGUUUAUUUGAUAGUGCCUUACUACAUGGAUACCUGUGGUAAUUCUAGAGCUAAUACAUGCUGAAAACCCCGACUUCGGGAGGGGUGUAUUUAUUAGAUAAAAAACCAACGCCCUUCGGGGCUCCUUGGUGAAUCAUGAUAACUUAACGAAUCGCAUGGCCUUGCGCCGGCGAUGGUUCAUUCAAAUUUCUGCCCUAUCAACUUUCGAUGGUAGGAUAGUGGCCUACCAUGGUGGCAACGGGUAACGGGGAAUUAGGGUUCGAUUCCGGAGAGGGAGCCUGAGAAACGGCUACCACAUCCAAGGAAGGCAGCAGGCGCGCAAAUUACCCAAUCCCGACACGGGGAGGUAGUGACAAUAAAUACUGAUACGGGGCUCUUUUGGGUCUCGUAAUUGGAAUGAGAGCAAUUUAAACCCCUCAACGAGGAACAAUUGGAGGGCAAGUCUGGUGCCAGCAGCCGCGGUAAUUCCAGCUCCAAUAGCGUAUAUUAAAGUUGUUGCAGUUAAAAAGCUCGUAGUUGAACCUUGGGCCUGGCUGGCCGGUCCGCCUCACCGCGAGUACUGGUCCGGCUGGGCCUUUCCUUCUGGGGAACCCCAUGGCCUUCACUGGCUGUGGGGGGAACCAGGACUUUUACUGUGAAAAAAUUAGAGUGUUCAAAGCAGGCCUUUGCUCGAAUACAUUAGCAUGGAAUAAUAGAAUAGGACGUGCGGUUCUAUUUUGUUGGUUUCUAGGACCGCCGUAAUGAUUAAUAGGGAUAGUCGGGGGCGUCAGUAUUCAGCUGUCAGAGGUGAAAUUCUUGGAUUUGCUGAAGACUAACUACUGCGAAAGCAUUCGCCAAGGAUGUUUUCAUUAAUCAGGGAACGAAAGUUAGGGGAUCGAAGACGAUCAGAUACCGUCGUAGUCUUAACCAUAAACUAUGCCGACUAGGGAUCGGACGGCGUUACUAUAAUGACCCGUUCGGCACCUUACGAGAAAUCAAAGUUUUUGGGUUCUGGGGGGAGUAUGGUCGCAAGGCUGAAACUUAAAGAAAUUGACGGAAGGGCACCACAAGGCGU